UACGGAGGGUGCAAGCGUUACUAGGAAUCACUGGGCGUAAAGGGCGCGUAGGCGGCCUAGCAAGUCUGGUGUGAAAGCCCAGGGCUCAACCCUGGAAGGGCACUGGAAACUGUUAGGCUUGAGUUCCGGAGAGGAGGGGGGAAUUCCCUGUGAAGCGGUGAAAUGCGUAGAUAACGGGAGGAAUACCGGUGGCGAAGGCGCUCCUCUGGACGGAAACUGACGCUGAGGUGCCAAAGCGUGGAGAGCAACCAGG
rnacentral:rRNA from 1 species